AUGAACGCUAGCUACAGGCUUAACACAUGCAAGUCGAGGGGCAGCAUGGUCUUAGCUUGCUAAGGCCGAUGGCGACCGGCGCACGGGUGAGUAACACGUAUCCAACCUGCCGUCUACUCUUGGACAGCCUUCUGAAAGGAAGAUUAAUACAAGAUGGCAUCAUGAGUCCGCAUGUUCACAUGAUUAAAGGUAUUCCGGUAGACGAUGGGGAUGCGUUCCAUUAGAUAGUAGGCGGGGUAACGGCCCACCUAGUCUUCGAUGGAUAGGGGUUCUGAGAGGAAGGUCCCCCACAUUGGAACUGAGACACGGUCCAAACUCCUACGGGAGGCAGCAGUGAGGAAUAUUGGUCAAUGGGCGAGAGCCUGAACCAGCCAAGUAGCGUGAAGGAUGACUGCCCUAUGGGUUGUAAACUUCUUUUAUAAAGGAAUAAAGUCGGGUAUGGAUACCCGUUUGCAUGUACUUUAUGAAUAAGGAUCGGCUAACUCCGUGCCAGCAGCCGCGGUAAUACGGAGGAUCCGAGCGUUAUCCGGAUUUAUUGGGUUUAAAGGGAGCGUAGAUGGAUGUUUAAGUCAGUUGUGAAAGUUUGCGGCUCAACCGUAAAAUUGCAGUUGAUACUGGAUAUCUUGAGUGCAGUUGAGGCAGGCGGAAUUCGUGGUGUAGCGGUGAAAUGCUUAGAUAUCACGAAGAACUCCGAUUGCGAAGGCAGCCUGCUAAGCUGCAACUGACAUUGAGGCUCGAAAGUGUGGGUAUCAAACAGGAUUAGAUACCCUGGUAGUCCACACGGUAAACGAUGAAUACUCGCUGUUUGCGAUAUACUGCAAGCGGCCAAGCGAAAGCGUUAAGUAUUCCACCUGGGGAGUACGCCGGCAACGGUGAAACUCAAAGGAAUUGACGGGGGCCCGCACAAGCGGAGGAACAUGUGGUUUAAUUCGAUGAUACGCGAGGAACCUUACCCGGGCUUAAAUUGCAGAUGAAUUACGGUGAAAGCCGUAAGCCGCAAGGCAUCUGUGAAGGUGCUGCAUGGUUGUCGUCAGCUCGUGCCGUGAGGUGUCGGCUUAAGUGCCAUAACGAGCGCAACCCUUGUUGUCAGUUACUAACAGGUUCCGCUGGGGACUCUGACAAGACUGCCAUCGUAAGAUGUGAGGAAGGUGGGGAUGACGUCAAAUCAGCACGGCCCUUACGUCCGGGGCUACACACGUGUUACAAUGGGGGGUACAGAGGGCCGCUACCACGCGAGUGGAUGCCAAUCCCCAAAACCUCUCUCAGUUCGGACUGGAGUCUGCAACCCGACUCCACGAAGCUGGAUUCGCUAGUAAUCGCGCAUCAGCCACGGCGCGGUGAAUACGUUCCCGGGCCUUGUACACACCGCCCGUCAAGCCAUGGGAGCCGGGGGUACCUGAAGUGCGUAACCGCGAGGAGCGCCCUAGGGUAAAACUGGUGACUGGGGCU
rnacentral:rRNA from 1 species